CGAGAGCAUGCGCGGGCGGGAGAAACACCGCCCGUCUCCGCUGUCCGAGGAAGACGGGCGCGUUUUCUACGCAAGCUGCAGCUCCUGUGAGGAAAAAAAGUAAUGACUCGUGGUAUUUGGGCCAUUUUGUCCAUAACCAGCUGAGCCCAUGGACAUUUUUUUCUUUUUUUUUUCCAGAACAGCAAACGUCACGAUGUUCCACUACGUCUGUUUCUCCCGAGUUUCCGGCGACUGAACAAAUGGUACUCACCGCGGUACUUUGUGUGAGCUACGUGUACGAAAUGAAGGUCAGUUAACAGAACACCCAAGACACAAGUCAUCUUCCUGAAGUUUCCAUCCCAACCACUCAACAGAGCGCACCACGCAGAAGCAUCCACCCCACCCCCCGAUUUGAGCUCAUGGCUGUGGAGGUUCCUCCUUCAUUGGUAUGAUCUCCUCAUCCUCCCUGAAGACACCAGAUCUGUGGGACUGCACCACUCUGGCACCCCCCCAGCCUUUGUAGUCCAUCAGUUCAGGUGGAAAAAAUUACAAGGGCUUUAUACUUGUGAUCAAAAGGUUGCUGGAUUCCGCUGUCAUCGAACCCUCUGAGAAAAUGCACUUCAGCUCAA
rnacentral:lncRNA from 1 species